CACAAAAAGAAAUCCAUUUUCUUCAUUUUUCAACCUUUGUUUUUUUUAAAUUUGUUUUUUAAAUUUUUUUAAACAUCCAAAUUGUUUUUCUUUCUAAUUUUUAUGACAAAUACUUCUUAUUUGUGACUUUACAUUUACAAUUUUAUUUUUGUUUUUAUUUUUUCCAUUUAUUUUACUUUGAUAACGACCAUUGUAAAUACGCCAUCUUAAUGUUUAAAACAAUGCGAUACUUGUGGAUUUUUUGCCUUGUUCCUUU
rnacentral:lncRNA from 1 species